UACGUACCCCCUCCUCUUUCCGAAAAUACUUGUCAUGAAUAAAAGGGAAUGUAUAUAGAUGUAUUUUAGUUCUAAAUACAUCCAUUUUUGUCUAUUUUAAUGACAAGUAUUUUCGGACGGAGGGAGUAACUA
rfam:Triticum aestivum genome assembly, contig: Triticum_aestivum_CS42_TGACv1_scaffold_094115_2AL